UGGCGAACGGGUGAGUAACACGUGGGUGAUCUGCCCUGCACUUUGGGAUAAGCCUGGGAAACUGUGUCUAAUACCAGAUAGGACCAUGCCUUGGAUGGUGUGGUGGAAAGUUUUUUCGGUGUGGGAUGAGCUCGCGGCCUAUCAGCUUGUUGGUGGGGUAAUGGCCUACCAAGGCGUCGACGGGUAGCCGGCCUGAGAGGGUGUACGGCCACAUUGGACUGAGAUACGGCCCAG
rnacentral:rRNA from 1 species